GUGUUUAUACAGAUUGUGUGAAGAAACCCUUGGAAGCAGCCCUGUGGAGAAGGACUUGGGGGUCCUGGUGGAUGAGAAGCUGGACAUGAGCCAGCAGUGCGCUUGCAGCCCGGAAGGCCAAAUGUGUUCUGGGCAUUAAAAAAGGUGUAGCCAGCAGGGAGAGGGAGGUGAUUGUCCCCUUCUACUCGGCUCUUGGGAGGCCCCAUCUGGAGUACUGUGUCCAGGCCUGGGGCCCCCAGUACAGGAAGGAUGUGGAGCAAUUGGAGUGGGUACAGAGGAGGGCCACUAAGAUGAUCAGAGGGCUAGAGCACCUCUCAAGAAAGGCUGAGGGAACUGGGCGUGUUUAGCUUGGAGAAGAGAAGGCUCUGGGGGGACCUCGUUGUGGACUUCCAGUACUUGAAGGGAGCAUAUCAACAGGAGGGGGAACAGCUGUUUACGAGGGUGGAUAGCUAUAGGACAAGGGGAAUGGUUUUAAACAAAGACAGGGGAGGUUUAGGUUAGAUUUUAGGAGGAAGUUUUUCACCCAGGGGGUGGUGAUGCACUGGAACAGGUUGCCCAAGGAGGUUGUGGAUGCCCCAUCCCUGGAGGCAUUCAAUGCCAGGCUGGAUGUGGCUCUGGGCAGCCUGGUCUAGUGGUUGGCAACCCUGCCCAUAGCAAGGGGGGUUGAAACUAGAUGAUCAUUAUGGUCCUCUUCAACCAUUCUAUGAUUCUAUGAUUCUAUGAUAAUGAACCUCAAAUCUGCCUGGUAUUUACCAGUUGCACUGGUAAAUUUUCUGUAUGCAUCUGUAUGAAAGUUAGUUUAUUUUUAAAAGUACUGAUUUAAAGAAAUCAGGAUCUGAAUUAAUCCCUCUUGAGGUACCUCUAUCUGAGCUAUCACUUGAAGCUUUUUUCAGUACUCACUGAACUGGGAAUAUGCAGCACUGGGGUGCAGCAGCAUGAAUUUACAUUUUCAAGGUGCCUAUAACAUAUUCAGGAAGCCUAAAGUUAUUAAUUUCCUAUGUCAGUUAUAAGCUUGAGUGUUGGAUGGGACAAAUCAAGGACUAACGGGGCCAAAGUUACUGUAGGCAAAGUUUUAGCAAAAAAGAAAAUGGAGUGAAAUGCUGCAGAAUAAUAUGCUGGCUAUGACUCAUCAGAAUAACUAAAAAUGACUUGCAGUACAGGAAAGUAAGGGGACUGUUAAAAUAGAGGAAUAACUGUGAUUUUUCAAAGUAAAGAAAAUGAUUGAUAUUUAUUCAGUUCAGGAUAAUGUGAAAGACUGCAUCUGUAUGACUGUAGCAGGUCAGUUCAUAAUAGGAGCCUUUUAAUGGAACAGAUCCCUUCACAGAAUGUAUUUGUUCUAUAAAAGCUAAUGUGCUGAAACCUCUAAUACCAAGUAGCCAAACAAGCCAAAGACAUAAUGCCAAAGAUUUUUAUAUUCUAUAUUUCCCUCCUCAGUGAUUACCAGUUUUCUCUUACCUCUACCAUGUUCAUGUGAGUAGCAUUCUUUUAUUUCAUAAUUACUUGUUACUAAAAUUUCCUGAAGUUUCAGGCUGCUCUGAAAAUAAUGCCUCCCAUUUAUUUACAUGCAAACUACCACACAUACCAAAAAGACAAUAACACUAUUUUAUGCAUUUUCACCCGAGAUGAAGAUGAGCACGCAUGUCGCGCUUGUAAAAAUCUGUGCCAGCGGAGGUGACCCACUGUUGCUGUCACCAGUGUUGAAACUCACCACCCACCCACUGCCUCUCUGAGCUCAUAUCCACUAUUUGGUCUCCAUCAACGUUCAGCAAACAUCAAUGGAUGUCAAUGGGUGCCAUUUUUUCCACAGAGGAAUUCAGUGAGGUGCCUUUGUUCCAUACACACUUCCAUAUCAGACGCCAUUUUGCCAGACUGCCCCUCUGCCGCCAUCUGUCGCAAAACAACAACAUAGAAAAAAUGCAUUACUCUCAUCUUCCCAGCAUAUCACUUUGUGAAAACCCUCUUCAUUAUUCCUCUGUCUUCUCUUAUUAACCAAGACAAAUAUUUGGAUGUUCUGUUUCCUUCAGGAAAUUAUACAUAUCUCCUGUUGAAGGGAAAAACAAAUGCAAGUAAUAAGACUUCAAAUUAACAACGGACUGGGUUUUGAGGGCUUUGUUUAAAAAAGGGUUGGAAAAAAAAAGUUUGAGGCAUUGAAAUGUAGUUUAGGAAAGAAAAGCAGAAAGAGAAAAAAGAUGUGGUAAAUACGACAGAAAUUGAGAACAAGUGUUUUUGUGGACAUUUUGUGGGGUAAAAUAGAUUCAUGCAGUUCACACAGUAAUUCACAACCAUAGCUUUUGUUUAGGUUGGAACUUCUGACAAUCACCUGCCUUGUGAGUGUAUUUGAGACAAGAUUUUAUAUGGAUAAAAAAUUAUGGAUUUGUUAUAUAUAGCACAAGAGAUUCUAACCAAUCCUCAUUUUCAUAUUAUAACUAUUUCUCCCUAUAUGAAAAAGCUCGUAUUAUUAUCUUAA
ensembl:lncRNA